rnacentral:rRNA from 1 species
UACGUAGGGGGCAAGCGUUGUCCGGAAUCAUUGGGCGUAAAGAGCGUGUAGGCGGCCAGAUAAGUCCGCUGUGAAAUCUCGAGGCUCAACUUCGAGCUGUCGGUGGAAACUGUCUGGCUAGAGUCCGGAAGAGGAGAAUGGAAUUCCUGGUGUAGCGGUGAAAUGCGCAGAUAUCAGGAAGAACACCCGUGGCGAAGGCGGUUCUCUGGGACGGUACUGACGCUGAGUGAGCGAAAGCCAGGGGAGCAAACGGG